GACGAACGCUGGCGGCGUGCUUAACACAUGCAAGUCGAGCGGUAAGGCCCUUUCGGGGGGUACACGAGCGGCGAACGGGUGAGAAACACGUGGGUGACCUGCCCUCAGCUCUGGGAUAAGCCUGGGAAACUGGGUCUAAUACCGGAUAUGACUCCAUGACGCAUGUUGUGGGGGUGGAAAGCCUUGUGCGGCUGAGGAUGGGCCCGCGGCCUAUCAGCUUGUUGGUGGGGUGAUGGCCUACCAAGGCGACGACGGGUAGCCGGCCUGAGAGGGCGACCGGCCACACUGGGACUGAGACACGGCCCAGACUCCUACGGGAGGCAGCAGUGGGGAAUCUUGCGCAAUGGGCGAAAGCCUGACGCAGCGACGCCGCGUGAGGGAUGAC
rnacentral:rRNA from 1 species